CCUACGGGGGGCAGCAGUGGGGGAUAUUGCACAAUGGGGGGAACCCUGAUGCAGCGACGCCGCGUGGGUGAAGAAGCGCCUCGGCGCGUAAAGCCCUGUCAGCAGGGAAGAAAAUGACGGUACCUGAAGAAGAAGCCCCGGCUAACUACGUGCCAGCAGCCGCGGUAAUACGUAGGGGGCAAGCGUUAUCCGGAUUUACUGGGUGGAAAGGGGGCGCAGACGGCGAUGCAAGCCAGGAGUGACAGCCCGGGGCCCAACCCCGGGACUGCUCUUGGAACUGCAUGGCUGGAGUGCAGGAGGGGCAGGCGGAAUUCCUGGUGUAGCGGUGAAAUGCGUAGAUAGCAGGAGGAACACCGGUGGCGAAGGCGGCCUGCUGGACUGCAACUGACGUUGAGGCCCGAAAGCGUGGGGAGCAAACAGGAUUAGAUACCCCGGUAGUC
rnacentral:rRNA from 1 species